rnacentral:lncRNA from 1 species
UCUCGAUGGUGGCAUCCCUGGCGCGAAGGUGGCACCAUGUAUCGCUUUCUGCUAGGGAACAAGUUAGUCUGCUCCUGCUGGUUGGGGGUUCGAGCUGCGGGGAGGAGGGGAUGAUGAUGUGUCUCUCUAGGAUCCUUUGUAGUCCGAGGGUGAGUGACGGUGUCGGGGAAGGGGUGGAAGGGAGCCGUCUCGUAGCUAGUCAGUGCCAAGGUGUAGGCCACCCAGUGCGUGGGUCUCCCUGUAAUGGAGUGAAAGGGUAUUUGUUGGGAUGUCUGGAUCUCGGUUGGUUUGGGACCUCUGCCUGGAGUCGUGCUCCAGCAGUGAAGUGCAGAAAGCUGUGAAUAUGGUCUGUGGGCUGCGCCAGCGCUGGUGCGAGCCCCUGCAGGGAGACUCUGUAGUGGUCGGAAAGAGCUCGACUGAGCUGCGGAAUAGCCUGAGUAGCAUCAUUGGGACCUCUGCGACUUGGAAGAAACGACUAUAUCCUGGAGCUUUAGAGAGGUGGCAAGGCAGAGCCUGUGGCCACGCAGUUGAUCAUGGACCAUCAGGAUAACAGCUGAAAAUGGUAUCUGAGAGCAUCCAGGUUCAGAAAAACAUCAGGUCAUGUAAGACCAGGGCUUGGUGCCCUUGACUUCUCUGGUGCACAGGGGCUACCAUUUCACCAUGGUAUUGGUAGCAUGCUGGAUGUCUUUUACUCAUGAACUGGAGAGAUCAGAUAGUCUCAGAUGGACUGAGUCCUCAGGAAGAUGGAAGUGUCCCACAUGACGAGUGGUCUGGUUUCAAGUGCUCCUACAAGGGUGAAGUGGGAAGACCCUGAUAAGCUCUGCCCUACUGCCACCCCCAUGCCUAAUACAUGACAAUAGAAAUCAAACCCUGGGCUGGUGAGAUGACUCAGCGGUAAGAGCACUGACUGCUCUUCCGAAGGUCGAGUUCAAAUCCCAGCAACCACAUGGUGGCUCACAACCACCAUAUAUCUGAAGCCUUCUUCUGGUGCGCCUGAGCAAGCAGGGACUGAGUGAGCAGCCGACCCAGAGUGAGAAGAGGUUCUAAAAAUUCAAUUUCCAACAGUCACAUGAACUCUCACAGCCAUCUGUACAGCCACAGUGUACUCACAUACAGAAGAUAAAUAAAUCUUAAAGAAAAAGAAACCAAA